CCUACGGGAGGCAGCAGUGGGGAAUAUUGGGCAAUGGGCGCAAGCCUGACCCAGCAACGCCGCGUGAAGGAAGAAGGCUUUCGGGUUGUAAACUUCUUUUAAGAGGGAAGAGCAGAAGACGGUACCUCUUGAAUAAGCCACGGCUAACUACGUACCAGCAGCCGCGGUAAUACGUAGGUGGCGAGCGUUGUCCGGAUUUACUGGGGGUAAAGGGCGUGCAGCCGGGAAGACAAGUCAGAUGUGAAAUCCCGCGGCUCAACCGCGGAACUGCAUUUGAAACUGUUUUUCUUGAGUACCGGAGAGGUCAUCGGAAUUCGUUGUGUAGCGGUGAAAUGCGUAGAUAUAAGGAAGAACACCAGUGGCGAAGGCGGAUGACUGGACGGCAACUGACGGUGAGGCGCGAAAGCGUGGGGAGCAAACAGGAUUAGAUACCCGAGUAGUC
rnacentral:rRNA from 1 species